ACCAGUACCGUGAGGGAAAGGUGAAAAGAACCUUGAAUAAAGGAGUGAAAUAGAACCUGAAACCAUACGCUUACAAGCGGUCGGAGGCCUUUAGUGGGCUGACGGCGUGCCUUUUGCAUAAUGAGCCUACGAGUUACUCCUCUCUGGCAAGGUUAAGACUUUUAAGGGUCGGAGCCGCAGCGAAAGCGAGUCUGAAUAGGGCGCACAGUCAGAGGGGGUAGACGCGAAACUUUGUGAUCUACCCUUGACCAGGU
rnacentral:rRNA from 1 species